AGUGAACGCUGGCGGCAGGCCUAACACAUGCAAGUCGAACGGCAGCACAAGAGAGCUUGCUCUCUGGGUGGCGAGUGGCGGACGGGUGAGGAAUGCAUCGGAAUCUGCCCAUUUGUGGGGGAUAACCUCGGGAAACCGGGACUAAUACCGCAUACGACCUACGGGUGAAAGCAGGGGAUCUUCGGACCUUGCGCAGAUGGAUGAGCCGAUGCCGGAUUAGCUAGUUGGAGGGGUUAAGGCCCACCAAGUCGACGAUCCGUAGCUGGUCUGAGGGGAUGAUCAGCCACACGGGGACGGGAACACGGCCCAGACUCCUACGGUAGGCAGCAGUGUGGAAUAUGGGACAGUGGGCGCAAGCCUGAUCCAGCCAGGCCGCGUGUGUGAAGAAGGCCUUCGGUUUGUAAAGCACGUUUGUUGGGAAAGAAAAGCAGCCGGUUAAUACCCGGUUGUCAUGACGGUACCCAAAGAAUAAGCACCGGCUAACUUCGUG
rnacentral:rRNA from 1 species